CCCUUAGAUGUCCUGGGCCGCACGCGCGCUACACUGACAUGUUCAACAAGCCUCCUAGUUCGACAGGAUUUGGGAAAUCUUUGAACGCAUGUCGUGAUAGGGAUAGAUCAUUGCAAUUAUUGAUCUUGAACGAGGAAUUCCUAGUAAACGCGAGUCAUCAGCUCGCAUUGAUUACGUCCCUGCCCUUUGUACACACCGCCCGUCGCACCUACCGAUUGAAUGUUUCGGUGAAGUUUCCGGAUAGGACUUUUUUGAUUUAUUUCAAUUCUGUCUUAAAAGCUAUCUAAACCUCAACAUUUAGAGGAAGGUGAAGUCGUAACA
rnacentral:rRNA from 1 species